CAAAGUCAUGGUUAAGUGGGAAACGAUGUGGGAAGGCCCAGACAGCCAGGAUGUUGGCUUAGAAGCAGCCAUCAUUUAAAGAAAGCGUAAUAGCUCACUGGUCGAGUCGGCCUGCGCGGAAGAUGUAACGGGGCUAAACCAUGCACCGAAGCUGCGGCAGCGACGCUUAUGCGUUGUUGGGUAGGGGAGCGUUCUGUAAGCCUGUGAAGGUGUGCUGUGAGGCAUGCUGGAGGUAUCAGAAGUGCGAAUGCUGACAUAAGUAACGAUAAAGCGGGUGAAAAGCCCGCUCGCCGGAAGACCAAGGGUUCCUGUCCAACGUUAAUCGGGGCAGGGUGAGUCGACCCCUAAGGCGAGGCCGAAAGGCGUAGUCGAUGGGAAACAGGUUAAUAUUCCUGUACUUGGUGUUACUGCGAAGGGGGGACGGAGAAGGCUAUGUUGGCCGGGCGACGGUUGUCCCGGUUUAAGCGUGUAGGCUGGUUUUCCAGGCAAAUCCGGAAAAUCAAGGCUGAGGCGUGAUGACGAGGCACUACGGUGCUGAAGCAACAAAUGCCCUGCUUCCAGGAAAAGCCUCUAAGCAUCAGGUAACAUCAAAUCGUACCCCAAACCGACACAGGUGGUCAGGUAGAGAAUACCAAGGCGCUUGAGAGAACUCGGGUGAAGGAACUAGGCAAAAUGGUGCCGUAACUUCGGGAGAAGGCACGCUGAUAUGUAGGUGAAGUCCCUCGCGGAUGGAGCUGAAAUCAGUCGAAGAUACCAGCUGGCUGCAACUGUUUAUUAAAAACACAGCACUGUGCAAACACGAAAGUGGACGUAUACGGUGUGACGCCUGCCCGGUGCCGGAAGGUUAAUUGAUGGGGUCAGCGCAAGCGAAGCUCUUGAUCGAAGCCCCGGUAAACGGCGGCCGUAACUAUAACGGUCCUAAGGUAGCGAAAUUCCUUGUCGGGUAAGUUCCGACCUGCACGAAUGGCGUAAUGAUGGCCAGGCUGUCUCCACCCGAGACUCAGUGAAAUUGAACUCGCUGUGAAGAUGCAGUGUACCCGCGGCAAGACGGAAAGACCCCGUGAACCUUUACUAUAGCUUGACACUGAACAUUGAGCCUUGAUGUGUAGGAUAGGUGGGAGGCUUAGAAGUGUGGACGCCAGUCUGCAUGGAGCCGACCUUGAAAUACCACCCUUUAAUGUUUGAUGUUCUAACG
rnacentral:rRNA from 1 species